rnacentral:rRNA from 1 species
AUGACUGGGGCCUUGAAUGACAAAUAUUUAGGACUGCCGGCCAAUGUGGGUUUAGAUAAAACCGAUUGUUUUCAAUACUUAAUUGAUCGUAUUGUUCAGAGAAUUAGUGGCUGGAAGGAAAAACUUCUGUCGGCUGGAGGAAAGGAGAUCUUACUUAAAGCGGUUGUUCAAGCUAUUCCCACCUAUGCAAUGUCGGUCUUUAAAAUUCCUAAUUGCAAAGGAAUUAUUGACGCGAUGGCGCAUUUCUGGUGGGGAGAUGAGGACAACCAAAGGAGGAUGCAUUGGAUGGCUUGGUGGAAAAUGUGUGUACCCAAGAACCAAGGAGGAAUGGGUUUUCGGGAUAUCCAUUGUUUCAAUUUGGCUAUGCUGGCUAAACAGGCUUGGCGUCUUCUCGAGAAUCCGGAUUCUCUAUGUGCUACUAUUUUGAGAGUCAAAUACUAUUCUGACGGUGACUUGUUGAACACUGACCUGAAGAAGGGAUCUUCCUUCACCUGGCAAAGUAUUAUGGCGGGUGUGAGCUGCCUGAAGCGUGGUCAUAUUUGGCGAGUGGAAAACGGGCAGAAUAUUGGCAUUUGGGAGGACGCAUGGAUUCCAAAUUGUGCAAACCGUAAAAUUGUUACCCCUAAGGGAGGCCAUUGUUACGAAGGUAGCAGAUUUGAUUGA